GAGUUUGAUCCUGGCUCAGAACGAACGCUGGCGGCAGGCCUAACACAUGCAAGUCGAGCGAGAAAGGGGCUUCGGUCCUGAGUAAAGCGGCGGAUGGGUGAGUAACACGUGAAUAAUCUGCCUACAAAUACGGGAUAACAGGGCGAAAGUUCUGCUAAUACGGUAUAAGCUUCCGCGCUUUAAGGCGAGAGGAGAAAAGUAUGGGAACCGCAAGGUCCAUAUGUUUGUAGAUGAGUUCGCGUCCCAUUAGGUAGUAGGUGAGGUAAUGGCUCACCUAGCCGACGAUGGGUAGCUGGUCUGAGAGGAUGAACAGCCACACUGGGACUGAGACACGGCCCAGACUCCUACGGGAGGCAGCAGUGGGGAAUCUUGCGCAAUGGAGGGAACUCUGACGCAGCCAUGCCGCGUGAGUGAUGAAGGCCUUCGGGUUGUAAAGCUCUGUCUAAGGGAAAGAAGUUAUGGUAAUCUAAUAGGUUAUUAUAUUGACG
rnacentral:rRNA from 1 species